rnacentral:rRNA from 1 species
AUACGAGGGGUGCAAGCGUUGUUCGGAAUUACUGGGCGUAAAGGGAGCGUAGGCGGAGAUUCAAGCGGAUUGUACAAUCCCGGGGCCCAACCCCGGCUCUGCAGUCCGAACUGGAUCUCUUGGAUAGUUCAGGGGCAGGCGGAAUUCCUGGUGGAGCGGUGGAAUGCGUAGAGAUCAGGAAGGACACCGAUGGCGAAGGCAGCCUGCUGGGGACUUAUCGACGCUGAGGCUCGAAAGUGCGGGUAGCAAACAGGAUUAGAUACCCUGGUAGUCCGCACCGUAAACGAUGCAUACUGGGUGUCCGGGGGUUCCCCCGGGUACCGUAGCCAACGCGUUAAGUAUGCCGCCUGGGGAGUACGUACGCAAGUAUGAAACUCAAAUGAAUUGGCGGGG